AGGGGGAAAAUUACCUGAGCUAGGUUGCGUCGGAGGCGAGGGCAUCGAAUACAGAAUUGAAGAUACAAUGAAGGCGGAUGGAUCCUUAGGUUCGGAGGUGGUGUUCUAUCCGUGGGUGAUUGAUUGCAUUGAUUUGGAAGCUCAACAAAAAGAGAAGGCUCAAGUUCUAGAGUCAUUGUUCGACUAUUUGAGG